rnacentral:misc_RNA from 1 species
GAAAGGCGAAACGUAAUGUGAAUCGCAACUAACAGUGAAUCAUUGAAUCUUUGAACGCAGGCCGCAGCUUGUAACAUCACUUGUGUUGUUGUAAGCUAUCUACGUAUGAGUGUCAGCCCAAUAUCAUUUAUUGGUUCAAGAAGAUGUACAUUUAUUUAAAUGUUUCAAAUUCUUGAAUACAUAUUUUAUGGAAAUAAAUAUAUGUCUGGCCUCAUAUGUGGAAGGUUACCCGCUGGAUUUAAGCA